AAAGAAAAAAAAAAAAAGAGGAGAAAAAUGGCAGAGCAGCUGACGGAGGAGCAGAUCGCUGAGUUCAAGGAAGCUUUUAGCCUUUUCGACAAGGAUGGCGAUGGCUGUAUUACUACCAAGGAGUUGGGAACAGUGAUGAGAUCACUUGGUCAGAAUCCCACUGAAGCUGAACUACAGGAUAUGAUCAGUGAAGUUGAUGCUGAUCAGAAUGGAACCAUUGAUUUUCCAGAGUUCUUGAAUCUGAUGGCACGGAAGAUGAAGGACACUGAUU
rnacentral:misc_RNA from 1 species